rnacentral:rRNA from 1 species
UGCAAGUCGAACGGCAGCAUGAUCUAGCUUGCUGGAUUGAUGGCGAGUGGCGAACGGGUGAGUAACGCGUAGGAAUAUGCCUUAAAGAGUGGGACAACUUGGGGAAACUCAAGCUAAUACCGCAUAAUAUCCAAGGAUAAAAGCUGGGGACCUUCGGGCCUGGCGCUUUAAGAUUAGCCUGCGUCCGAUUAGCUAGUUGGUAGGGUAAAGGCCUACCAAGGCGACGAUCGGUAGCUGGUCUGAGAGGAUGACCAGCCACACUGGAACUGAGACACGGUCCAGACUCCUACGGGAGGCAGCAGUGGGGAAUAUUGGACAAUGGGGGGAUCCCUGAUCCAGCAAUGCCGCGUGUGUGAAGAAGGCCUGAGGGUUGUAAAGCACUUUCAGUGGGGAGGAGGAUUGAUUGGUUAAGAGCUGGUUAAUUGGACGUUACCCACAGAAGAAGCACCGGCUAACUCCGUGCCAGCAGCCGCGGUAAUACGGAGGGUGCGAGCGUUAAUCGGAAUUACUGGGCGUAAAGGG